AACGAACGCUGGCGGCGUGCUUAACACAUGCAAGUCGAACGUGAUUCAGAGCUUGCUCUGAUGAAAGUGGCGCACGGGUGAGUAACGCGUGGAUAACCUGCCCUGGUAUCUGGGAUAACAUCUCGAAAGGGGUGCUAAUACCGGAUAAGCCCACGGGACCUUCGGGUCCUGCGGGAAAGGUGGCCUCUAUUUAUAAGCUACCGUAUCAUGAUGGGUCCGCGUACCAUUAGCUAGUUGGUGGGGUAAUGGCCUACCAAGGCGACGAUGGUUAGCUGGUCUGAGAGGAUGAUCAGCCACACUGGAACUGAGACACGGUCCAGACUCCUACGGGAGGCAGCAGUGGGGAAUUUUGCGCAAUGGGGGAAACCCUGACGCAGCAACGCCG
rnacentral:rRNA from 1 species